UACGGAGGGUGCAAGCGUUGUUCGGAAUUAUUGGGCGUAAAGGGCAAGUAGGUGGUCUUGUAAGUCUACUGUGAAAUCCCUGGGCUUAACCCAGGAAGUGCGGUGGAUACUGCAGGACUAGAGUAUCGGAGGGGUGCGUGGAAUUCCCGGUGUAGCGGUGAAAUGCGUAGAUAUCGGAAGGAACAUCAGUGGCGAAAGCGGCUUCCUGGACCAGUACCGACGUUCAGGCACGAAAGCGUGGGGAGCAAACAGG
rnacentral:rRNA from 1 species